CUGGCACACACCUUGUCACUUAGCACCCACCCUGCAUCCUGGCACACACCUUGUCACCUUGGGCUCUUGCUCCCCUGUAGUUCACAAUACUCCCAUAAACCUCCCAACACGCUAGCUAGCUAGCCUCUGGCCAAAUAGUGCCCUGACAGCCUGCAUGGUGUCCAAUUCCCACCAGGCUGAAUGUUUAGCUAGUUCCAGGUGGACUCAAUUGCUUGCCAGCGUCCAUGGUGCUUCAUUGUGGCUGGCAUCUUGGGCGCUGUGCUGGGCAGUGCCUGCUAGUUAGAGGGGAGUUCCCAGGAUGGUGACAAUAGUCUUUAAAACAAAGCUCAGUAACACACCACUAGGUGGCAGUCUAACACUUCCAAUAAUACUGCCACCUCAUCCUCAUAGAGUGAUAGGGGGCUUGUCAAACCUAGCAUGUUUCUCCAAUAUUCUAUGACAUACGACAGGCCGGACUCUCUAAUACUCUGACAUGUUCACUCUGUCUGUUAGCCAGGCUCUCUCUCUAUCUUUCUGUUAGCCAGGCUCUCUCUCUCUCUCUCUCUCUCUCUGUUAGCCAGGCUCGCUCUCUCUCUCUCUCUCUCUCUCUCU